rnacentral:tRNA from 7 species
GCCCGGAUGGCGAAACUGGUAGACGCAUCGGACUUAAAAUCCGCCGGGGGCAACCCCAUGCCGGUUCGAUCCCGGCUCCGGGCACCA